GGUACCCUAUGGACCAACUGUAGCCCUCCACCCAGCCACGCACCAGUCGACACGCCUCCUGUUCUAGAUAUUUUUCAACCCUCACCGUCACCAUAUCUCCUUCUCUCUUCAUCAUCUUUUCUAGCAGCUAAAUUAUCUGUCUCCUUCCAUGAAACAUACAGUUUAAAUUCGAUAUCGCCAUGUCUAUAUGGUGUUAGCAUGGAAUCGAUUCGAGUUUCGAUGAUAACAGUGCACGUGUUUUCUACAUGUUCUGGUCAGUAUGUUAAGGAAAAUGCUUUGAUCGAAUCAUCGAAGGCAGAUCCCUGUUGGCAACUUGGCAUGAGUUACAGUUGAUGCAUGUAGACCAAAAAAAGGAGUCAAAUGCAUGUUGGAAGGUGGAUGGCUUGAAAUUUCAGUUAUAUGUGCAUGUCUUAAGUAUCAAGGGAGCAUUAUACGUGAAGGGCAUGCGGGGACAAGUGAUCCUUGAGUGGGCGGAUGGAUGCACAUGAGAAUUCAGACUAGUUAUCCAACAUGGUAAAAAUACUUCUUAAGUGAUGGAUGGAUAUAUAUUAUUUUGGGUCACAUCCGCUUUUAGCUGAAUCGAUUCUGCAUUCAAACCUCAAAAACUUGAUGUUAUUAUGUGGUUUGUUCUUCUAGGGCUUAAUUGUUUUAGCAAGGGUCACCCAGGAACAUCGGUGGAUAAAUGGUUCAUUUCACAAUACAUGAUAUGAAUAUUAUCAGAAUACAUGUACAUGUUAGAAUUAAAAGCUAAGUUACUUUUUCAACAUGGCUAGUUUCACUGUUCUAGUGAUGCCAAUUAGCCAUUAAGGAUUGAGAAGAUAACUUCCUGUA